rnacentral:rRNA from 1 species
GUGUCAGCAGCCGCGGUAAUACCAGCUCUCCGAGUGGUGUGGAUGUUUAUUGGGCCUAAAGCAUCCGUAGCUGGCCAAGUUAGUCCCUUGUUAAACCCACCGAAUUAAUCGUUGGCGUGCGGGGGAUACUGCUCGGCUAGGGGACGAGAGAGGCAGACGGUAUUCUCGGGGUAGGGGUGAAAUCCUAUAAUCCCGAGAAGACCACCAGUGGCGAAGGCUGUCUGCUAGAACGCGCCCGACGGUGAGGGAUGAAAGCUGGGGGAGCGAACCGGAUUAGAAACCCCCGUAGUCC